rnacentral:lncRNA from 1 species
AAUUAAUUGUGUAUAUGUCUCUGAUUUCAGUCUUGUUUAUUUUUCCCUCCAUACUAUAUGCGCUCUGUGGAACGAUGCUGGACGCGAACGGAUCGUAAAGCCGCAGCCAGCCGACUCCGCCAACUCACAAAGUAAUAGCGCCUAGGAUCGUAACUGCGGAGCAUCCCAAUAAAAUCCUAUCACAACUAAACAACCCGGAACGAGUCAUCGCCGCGGACAAUGAAAUCGCUCCGCAAGGUCGUAGACCACGACGCGAUGACGACGACGCCGCGACGUCGGCGGUGGAGGAAAGGUUCAAAUGUGUUACACCAUGUCUACAGUACACGUAUAAACGAUCAAGACGUAAAGAACGGGUAUGACGAAUACGUUAGUUUUAUCGCAGUAUGUGAGAAAAAAGAAGAAGAAGAACUGGAAGUAUCCGGCCCGCAAACGACGAUCCCCGAACAAAAUGUGGAGUGAAAUGCGACUGUUGAAACGCGCGCGGCGUAAAGGGGCAAAAGACGACUAGACGGAUAUACUAUAAAUAAAAGAAAAAAAAAAAAUAGCAAAACUGCCAAUAAGCAUGCUCCCCGCGGCGUCUGGUACACGCAACCAACGAAAUACUCUGGUUGUUACGAGAAUGCAUUGAAUUUAUACCCCAAUUCAUUCGCUUGUAAGACAGUAAUACAUAUCCCUGUGAGAUCAUGACUGUGAGGUACUUUUUUUUUUUAAUAAUUUGCGAGAUGUAACUACGAAUUAAAAUACGAUAUUCGAUCAUCUGUUACUUUGGGGCCUCACGGUACGAUCGCGCGCGCCCGCCGCUAUUUAAUAUUUCUCAAUCAAAAAACCAGUUGAAAUGUGAAGGAAUAUUAAUAACUUUUGUAGCCAACAUUGUUUUUACGGUGUCAGAAUUCAACACGUUCACUGUACAUGAUUACAUAUGUGUGAUUUUUG